ACAGAUGAUUUGUGUCAGUGCUCAGAUGCGUUAUCUACUUUAAGCCAACAUACGGAUAUUAUAAAAUUCAGUUUUGUGGGCCAAAUUUAUUUUAUAUGCCAACAUCUAUGAAAGAAAGAGCCAGGCCACGGAGCGCGAUGCGUCAUUUACGCACAGAUGGUUCCGAUUUUAAUGCCAUUUUUGGAGUUUAUGUUGUGAUCUGUGCGCUCAACACACCUUUGUCACGUGAGGUUUGAAUAUAUGCAACUUUAUGUGAGUGUCUUAAUUAGUGGAAAAGGUGUUUGUCUUACCACUGGGUCCAACAUUACACACACCAAAUUCAUCUGUGCUCGUAUGAGAGAGUGUGGAGGACGCCCAGUGCAGCGCUUACAGUGACACUUGUUGAGGAGCUGCCUUCUGUCGCCAUCGUGUGGCAUUACUGUCUUCAGACAUCUCUUGAUCUCUCUGACUACUUCACGAAAAUAGUAACAGGAUUUAAAGGCAAGGAGAGGAGCUUAUGUGAUUGGUGAAAACAGCUCUCGGCUGUGUUAAACCCACUCCACGCCCUCUCUCCUCCCUCACAAUGACUUACGCCGCUGGGAGGAGCUGAGUUAGGAAGGGGGGAUACUUACGCCGGGCUGCGCCGCUCACCAGAAUACCAAAUUGAGCUUGGGAACGCCUUGUCGGCGUGGCGGACCUGAAUUACGCCGCGCCUGUGGCACGUCUCCGGCUAGGCACGAAAAUAGAGCCCCCAGUGUCUAUAAAAAGGUGAUACCUUGUCUAAACUAGAUUAAGAUUGGCUGUGAUCUUCAUAAUGCUAGAAUAGUAUCAAAGAAGCUACAGGAAAACAAAAAAACAUUUUUUUUGUUUUUUCCCCCCACACUCCGAUGUUGCUGAUCUCCUGCUGGUCAACUCGCUGUGCCAUGUCCAGUGCAUAAGCAUUAUAGAUACUUGACUUUGAGCUGCAGUGUUGUGUAGGCUUGUAUUUCAGCCAAUUAGUGGAGGUUUCCUGUAUGCAAGCCCUCAUCUGACAAAUACAUAAUAUGUUAGACACCUCAAUGACUGACGCUGCCUAUUGGAGCUGACAUAUCAGUGCAGUGGCCAUCUGGGAUGGGUCCUUCAAGUGCAUUUAUGACUACUGUGGAAGGUAAGUGUGCCCAACUACUCUCAUCAUAUCUUCCCAAAUAUUUACCCUACUUCCACACAGUUUGGUUUGUUAAAAACAGCAGAGAUGCAGUUAUGGACUCCGUCAAGCACUUAAAGGUAAAAAAAUAUAUAUUUUUUUGAUCUGACUUGUGUAAGGUAAUCCUACAUGACCUGGUUUCAAUACAGCGGUUUUUGCAACCGUAGAGUGCAUCAAAUAUGGGCAUAGGGCUUGUUCUCUGCUGACUCCAAGGAGACCCAUCCAAUAUGGUGGUGAUGCUUGAUAAAACUCCAGCACGAAAUGAGGCAUCUACGUAUAUUAUGUCAUGUUCAUCUGAGAGCUGUACAUAUGUAGAAUAAAUCGACAACAAUCAAACUUGAAUUGAUUCAUCCAAUUGCUGUAAAGAUGGCUAAAAGGACAGAGAGCUCUGGGCUAUGGUUGGCCAGAGUGAAUCUGUCAGUUGGACAGGCAUUUUGUGGUUCUAUCAGAAGAACAUAGUCGUUGUGUUAGCUUGUGGGGAACUUUCUGAAAAAUAAAAUAUGACCGAAAUCAAAGUUAACUGACAGAUUUCGUCACGCAAAAUGACAAAAAUGAAUUACCUUUUUCUUUUCCCCUGGAAACAUUACCUGCUUACUUUUUUGUAGCUGGAGGGAUAUUAAUCAUAGCAAGGAAAGACCAGUCUUAUUUGAAAUAGGAGGAAGUCCUGAGUUGUUUUGAUAGAUAGUGGAGUAGAGUUAUGUGGCGGCGUUUUCAGCAACCUCCUUUCUGCUGAAGUUGCUCAUGCCCUAGGUGCAGGCCCGGAUUAAACCUUCUGUGGCCCCUGAGGCUAAGCAAACCUAAUGGCCCCCCUCUGUCCCGCGCGCGCAAAAAAUUGGCAGUUUUUAUUGGUCACAUUUUGUAAAUUACUGCAGUUAUGGGUGGUUAUUUAACAGUUCCACUAGCCACCACCUCUAGCCAAACCACUGGGUUAAUACAACUGUGUGUCUGAACUCAAUUCAACAAGAGGUAGUGAAAAAAGUCUUGAAGGAAAGCACAGAGGCUGGUGUACAGUUCACUUUUUUACUGUAGAAAACCUCAGGCAUUUUAAAUUACAAGUAUAUAGCAAGCAUUAUAAAUAAAAGUGCAAGGCAUGAUAUGAAGGCCUGUUAUGGUUAUACAAUUUGUUUUGUUUAAAGGAUUGCUACAUUGAUUUGAGAUUUUUAUUAUUUUUAUAUUUGCUAUUUGUGUUUUGAUCUUUAUUUUCAUAUUCUGUAGGGACUGAUAAAUGUCAGAGGUUUUGACACUGUGAUACUUGAAUAAAUGUUUUAUACCAUAUUUUGAAUUAAUUCAGACCUUUUGUGCAUUUAUUUUUGUCUUGUUACAUUUUUUCCAUUAUUCCAAUUUUGGGGAGCGUGGUAGCAAUUUGACUGACUUUCAGCCAUUUAAGGCCAUGAUGUGCUGUUUAUAUUUUAUUGCUUUUAUUACACAGUAGGUUGUAUCAUUUUUAUGUAUGAAACAUAAGCUUUUAGCUAAAUUUACUGUCUAUAUUUCAUUGUGCUGGGUGCAAAUCACAUGAGUUGAGACGUUUUCUUCAAGAAAUUUGCUACAUUUCAUAAUCUGAAUUCACUUUUGCGUACCGAUAACUAUUUCAGGUGUUAGGUAGAUGUAUUUAUGAUAUUUGAGAAAGAUUUUGUCUUGCCAGAAUCAACAUAGCAGUUUCUACAAGCAAAAACUGCAGCACCAUAUAAUCGCUUCUUGUGUUACUCACAUAUAUGUACAUUUCUGGCUGUUCUUUUGUCUCACCCUGUAGAGAAAGCCACUUGCUAAUACUAGUUCUGUAAGUUUCCCAACAUGUCCUUGUAAAGUCGAGAACGUCUUCACUCUGGACAGAUGAUAGAUGCAUAUAGCAUCGUUUCGUUCCUUUUUGAUGCACUUUUGAAGGCUGUUUUCUUUUUUUCCUGUUCUUUUCUUCCUCUUCGCUUGUCUCGCUGGUAGACGCGCUCGUCGCCAUGUUUGUGUAUUUCUGAUACUAUGGCAACGAGACUCGGCUCCUAUUGGUCCACGUGACAAAAAUCGCUUCACCCCUCUGCAUAUUCGAUUGCGCGUGUGCAAGUAUCACUGCGCCACAGAAAGGAAAUAGUUCAACACCGAAACACUGAUUACUAAAAAUCGACAGGAUGGCAUGAGUAGAUAUUUUUUUUUAGUACUAACUAUCAAUAGAGCUGUUUUAUGAAUCACAGUUUAUGUUUCCCCACUGAAGUGAAACGAGAUUCACUUUCUAGGCACUUUUUCCUCUAUCCCAAUACAGCCUAAUCCUCCUCACACCGGGCGCAGCUCAUCAGCGUCAUAGCGGCUUCUGCUCGGACUGAGUGGCCCCCCAUAGCCAAACGCCCUGAGGCCUCAGCCUCACUAUGCCUCAUGGUUAAUCCGGCUCUGCCUAGGUGUGUGUAAUAUGUUUACAAAGUGUUUACAGUAAGGAGGCACAUCUCUCCCUUAAGUGGUGAUCUGAUAUACACAUUGGUUACAAUAUGAUUAACUAAGGAUACAUUUUAAUACAUACCAAUUCAAUUUGAUUUGAUUUAAUGUCUAAAAGAAAUGAUGAAAGUCAUUUUGCACCAAUCACUGGCUACACUCACAUUUGUUCCCAGGUGCAUCUAUGAUCAUCAGUGACUGACAAUGGUUUUGGGAGCUUUCUCUUUUUGUGGUUUCUCCACAGUUGCCCACCAAAACAUAACAGUUAAUGGCGGUGUCCCAUUUUUCCACCAUGCAGCUGUUCCUGUUUAAAAAUUGAAUGAACUGACAGCCUCCAAAGAUAGGACAAGAGUAUAACACUUGUGAGCCGGUUACUUAGAAACUUAUUUAGCGAACUAAAGGGACAAAAAAUACAAUAUAUAUGAUUUAUGCACAUUCUAUGCCUCAGAAGGAUAAAUUACUCCUUGCUUUAAUAUUUUAAGUACAUGCAAGAGAGAGCAAAAGGUGUGACUAGACUAUGAUGAGCAGAUGACCUUAAAGAUGUCCGCCCAUUUUACCGAGGUGAUUUAGUUUUUUUACAGCCCUUUUUAAGUCCGACAACAUGCUAUUAAAAUGAAGAUUGUCAUUUAGAUCAAGCUCCCAGGUCUCAAUAGUAUACCCUAGCUAGCAUAUACCCUGUACAAUGUGUCAUAAAGCGAUGGUUAACAUCAUCCAGUGUCAUUAGUUAAUGGUCCUUUGAUCCAGCCCUUACCUCUAUGUGAUCACGUAAAUCACUGUGUCAUUUGCAAUCAAGGAGUCAGCAUGUCUGGAUCAAACACAGCUUGGAUCAAAGGCUUGAGACUGAGACGGGAUUAUUCAGGUGGGAAAGGUGUGACUGAAGAAUAUGAGGCCUUGAACCCGAGCCAAGGAGUAGGGUUUACUAUAUAAAACCAGUAGGUAUCAGAGGAAGCCGAUGCAGUCUUUAGCUCAUAGGCAGUAUAAAAAAUGUGUAACACUUUAUAAUAACUAUACACUAUUAAGCAUUGGUUAAGCAUAAUUUAAGCAUUAGUUAAUCCUUAAUUCCUCAUGAACUCAUUAUGAAUUCAUCAUUAGUGAUGCAUUACAAAGCAUUAGCAAAUACAGUUAUAAAUGCUCAACUAAUACAUUAUGAAGCAUUAGUUAAACAUUAGUGAAGUGCUUAAUUCAUCGUUAACUCAUCAUUUGUAAAUAAUUAGUUAUACAUUACUAAGCAUUAGUAAACGCAGUUAUAAACGUUUUAAACUCAAACCCAUUUAUAAUUACUUAAGCAGCAGUUGAACAUUAGUUAAUGCUUAAUCAUGAAUUCAUGAUCUGUAUAGCACUUAAUAAACCCACUUAUAAAUGUUUUGUUGCUCAUUGAUAACCUGAGUUGUUAAUACUUUAUAAAGGGUUAGCAACUGUGUAAGUAUAUGUUUUACAAACAUGUAUUCAUACUUAAUGAAUAACUUAUUAAUGCUUAUUAACGCAGUUACUACUCAUUAGUUUCCCAUUAGUUAAGUAUAUUCUGUGAGCCCAUCUAAAGGGAGAAGUAAAUAUGCUUUAUAAAGCAUUUAUAAAUGACACAGAAGCAAAGAUAUACAAAGUGUCAGUUUUAUUGGUCCCAAACAAUA